rnacentral:tmRNA from 1 species
GGGGGCGACAGGUAUCGACGUGCGGGUUUAAGCUUCAAUUGCGCGCCGAGGACUCCGGUUGGCCUCGUAAAUCAUCCGGAAAAAAAACACAAACGCCAACGAACAAUUGGCUCUCGCGGCUUAGUACCGCGACGUUUGCCUUCUGACACCCGCUAAGGGGGUCAAACGAUUGCAGCGGGUUAGCUUCAGCGUCGUGCGACCGGGCGCCGGAGCGAAACAUUACGUGGACGCUGGCUUGGUUGGCAGCCUGUUCGUCGGCGGCCCUCCGGGCGAGAACCAAUAGGCGAAACACGCGCGUAGAAAUUGAUGCGGCGCUUGCGCGGACGGGGGUUCAAUUCCCCCCGCCUCCACCA